GACGAACGCUGGCGGCGUGCUUAACACAUGCAAGUCGAACGGUAAGGCCCUUCGGGGUACACGAGUGGCGAACGGGUGAGUAACACGUGGGUGAUCUGCCCUGCACUUCGGGAUAAGCCUGGGAAACUGGGUCUAAUACCGGAUAGGACCACUGCCUGCAUGGGUGGUGGUGGAAAGCAUUUGCGGUGUGGGAUGGGCCCGCGGCCUAUCAGCUUGUUGGUGGGGUGAUGGCCUACCAAGGCGACGACGGGUAGCCGGCCUGAGAGGGUGACCGGCCACACUGGGACUGAGAUACGGCCCAGACUCCUACGGGAGGCAGCAGUGGGGAAUAUCGCACAAUGGGCGCAAGCCUGAUGCAGCGACACCGCGUGAGGGAUGACGGCCUUCGGGUUGUAAACCUCUUUCAGCGCCGACGAAGCGCAAGUGACGGUAGGUGCAGAAGAAGGACCGGCCAACCACGUGCCAGCCGCCGCGGUAA
rnacentral:rRNA from 1 species